UCAUAUGCGUUUUCUUAAAGAGUAUAAAUUUUUUAAAUUUGAUUAAAUGACAAAGAAAUUUAGCUAGAAUUGGCGUAAUAGAUUUAUUUAAUGGUUAGGACAAAGUUCAACAUUUAAUCAGUCCAAUAAACAUAGCCCAACUAAUGAAUUUUUGGUUUUGGCCCUGACGGCAAGUCUACUCCGUUUAAGUUCUCUAUUUCCUUUCUGGAUCUCUCUGCCUCCAUAACCUCAAAUCCUUCAUUUCCUUCCAUCUUGUUAAUUCCAACUCUUUUCCCUGGUCUCGCCCAAAUCGCACUCACUCACCAAUCGAAGCCACAAAGCGAGAGUGAGAGAACCUGAGCAGCGGAGAUGAAGACCAUCUUCUCCUCUGAGACCAUGGACAUCCCUGACGGUGUCAAGAUUUGAGCUCGAAGUUCCUCGUGGGAAGCUUAUCCGCAACUUCAAGCUUUUACUCCAAAUUAUAGAGUUAUCGAACAGUAUUUACUCCCUUGAAUGAAACAGGAUGUUUUGAGGCGCGAGGCCAACAGGAGUGCUGGUGGUAUUCCAUUUAUGUAUCUUCUUCUAGUUGGCUUGAUUGGCAUUAUUUUGGGGUACAUUCUGAAGAAGACAUGACCGGGCGGGCACCUCACAUUCCCUGGGCACUCCCUUUGCUGGACAAUGAAAUGUGUAAAAAAAAACAAGUGAAAAAAAACCAGAAAUUGAAUGUGUGAUUGAUUAGAAGCAACUUUCGUUUAUCGUAUUGCUAAUCUGUAUUGACACUAGAGAACGUUCUGAAAUGUGCGACCAUUAAAAGGAGCACUUUCUCAUUGUAUUAGCAGGUGUUGAAACUACAGCAAAAUAACAAAUAUUAUUUCCAAAA